rnacentral:lncRNA from 1 species
CGCUCCCGUGGCGCCGUGGGAAAGCGCGCUGGUUUCUGCCAAAUGCAGUUAGCUUUGCUUCGCUUCCCUAAGUGCGUUCCCCCAGGGGCCCGGCAGUGUGCUAGGGGCACCCUGCUUCGUAAGUGAGGCAGACAGCCCGUGAUAAAUGCCAAAGUAGAAGCCCCUCCGAAAAAUUAAGGAGCCGAUUGGGCGGGACUAACCCUAAGGGAGGGCAGGGGAAGCGACCGUCACCUCCGGGCGCCGGGGACUCGGAACGCCGGGUCGGAGCUCGGCAGGCGGAGAGAACAGACAUUGAUGCAGUUUCCUUCCUGGAGAGGGUACACACUCAGAUCAUGAGACCUAAGAUAAAACACACACUGGAUUGUCAAGAAUCAAACAAGGACUACCAAUGGGAUCUAAUUAAACUAAAGAGCUUCUGCACAGCAAAAGAAACUACCAUCAGGGUGAACAGGCAACCUACAAAAUGGGAGAAAAUUUUCGCAACCUACUCAUCUGACGAAGGGCUAAUAUCCAGAAUCUACAAUGACCUCAAAUAAAUUUACAAGAAAAAACAACCCCAUCAAAAAGUGGGCUAAGGACAUGAACAGACACUUCUCAAAAGAAGACAUUUAUGCAGCCAAAAAACACAUGAAAAAAUGCUCAUCAUCCCUGGCCAUCAGAGAAAUGCAAAUCAAAACCACAAUGAGAUACCA